GUUGGGAUGGCAGAGUACGGUAAUUGCAUAAAACUUAAACCUUUAUACCCAGAGGUUCAAAUCCUCUUCCCAACA
ensembl:Mt_tRNA